AGCAGCCGCGGUAAUUCCAGCUCCAAUAGCGUAUAUUAAAGUUGUUGAGGUUAAAAAGCUCGUAGUUGAACCUUGGGCCUGGCUGGCCGGUCCGCCUCACCGCGUGCACUGGUCCGGCCGGGUCUUUCCCUCUGGGGAGCCGCAUGCCCUUCACUGGGUGUGUUGGGGAACCAGGACUUUUACUGUGAACAAAUCAGAUCGCUUAAAGAAGGCCUAUGCUCGAAUGCUUUAGCAUGGAAUAAUAGAAUAGGACGUGUGGUUCUAUUUUGUUGGUUUCUAGGACCGCCGUAAUGAUUAAUAGGGACAGUCGGGGGCAUCAGUAUUCAAUUGUCAGAGGUGAAAUUCUUGGAUUUAUUGAAGACUAACUACUGCGAAAGCAUUUGCCAAGGAUGUUUUCAUUAAUCAAGGACGAAGGUUAGGGGAUCGAAAACGAUCAGAUACCGUUGUAGUCUUAACAGUAAACUAUGCCGACUAGGGAUCGGAUGAUGUUAAUUUUUUAAUGACUCA
rnacentral:rRNA from 1 species